rnacentral:rRNA from 1 species
GCCCAGCCCUAAACCUAAGUAGUUCUUUAAACAAUACUACCCGCCAGAGCACUACUAGCGACAGCUUGAAACUCAAAGGACUUGGCGGUGCUUUAUAUCCCUCUAGAGGAGCCUGUUCUGUAAUCGAUAAACCCCGAUAAACCUCACCAACCCUUGCUAAUACAGCCUAUAUACCGCCAUCUUCAGCAAACCCUAAAAAGGAAUCACAGUAAGCCAAACCAUUUAACAUAAAAACGUUAGGUCAAGGUGUAGCCCAUGGGUUGGGAAGAAAUGGGCUACAUUUUCUAACAUAGAACACAACGAAACUUUUCGUGAAACCGAAAACGGAAGGAGGAUUUAGUAGUAAAUUAAGAAUAGAGAGCUUAAUUGAAUAAGGCCAUGAAGCAC